GUUGAAAGUAGGACGAAUAAAGAGAGUCCCCCACUCAUCAAUUCAGCUGAGGAAGCUCUGAGGAGCUGCAGUUCGUUCUAGGGAGUCUGGGCUGUCUUUCCACGCGGGUCCUUACUGGGACUGGAAGCUGCUGUGUGGAGUUUGGGGCUCCGGAAUCUUCCCUCCUAUGUGUUCAAGGCAGGACACGCGCUGGUUUUCUGAAGUGUUGGCAUUUCCUCGGAGACAACUAUUGUCGCAGAUACUCGACCACUCUCCCUGCCAGCGCCUUGCUCCACUGUGGGACAGCCGGAGUGUUUCUUCUAGAAUGUAUGCCACAGUCCAUCAUCCCUCUGACCAUCGCCCUCCAGGGGCUUCAGUCCUCGCCAAGACUUCUAAGACCCUCUCGCUCGCUGGCUGCCUCCGCUGGUGGGAGCCGCCCCGCUUUGAUGCCUUCGCUGCUGGAAGCUCAGCGGCCUGUGUGACAUCACUCUGGGCACCUCCUCCUCCUGUCGCCUGGCCUGAGUCUCCCUGUGCUCCCCAAACCUCCGGCGCCUUCCCAUGAAGCUGGGCCCUCUGGGACCCUGCCAUCAAGGCCCCAGGGACAUCAGCGCUUUCUGCAGGAUGUCGGGGCAAUAAGCAGUAAGGCUCUUCGGCACUCGCUCUGCUCUGUGAAGAGAGGAUACAGCAGAAACAAUGCCUCCCCUGAAGAAGACCCAUCUUCUCUACCUUUGGUAAGAAACAUGUAAACAGGUGCCUCAAGUCAUCUGGGAAUAUUAUCGACAAUGUAAUUCUUGGAGUAAAAUUUGAAACUUACGUAUGACUUUCCCUGUAACCUCCAAAAUCUUUUCAAUGGUGGAAGCAGAAUGUCUUCCUUAUUUCCACUACGAAAUAACAACAAAAAACCCUGACAAUUAUUCCUGAAAUAUGUGCUUUGUUUAAACACAAGGUGUACAGUGAACACAGUUUUAUCAGCGCUCUUGGACAAGAUUCCAAUAUGCUGUUUCUGCAAGGAAAAAUAAGCCCACUUUACAACUAAUCUCUGGGACUUCGAUAGCUAAAUAAUCAUGGAAUCGGCAUUCAGGUCUUUGGGCACCCACUUCCCAUGCACUUCCUUGAGGCUAUAGUCUCGGUAAUUGAAUUGAGAGAUGAAAAACGUGAACCCAACCUCGACAGAUCAAGCUGACCUGAAACAGUAUGCAUGGCAAUAUCAUUAUAUUCGAGGGCCAAAGGAAACUUGUGUGCUGGUUGUUUUCCUCUAAACCUGACUGUUUUGAUGGAGUCAUUGCUGUAAAUCCUGUGUGUAAUAAAACACGGAGUUUUGGGGUUCUCUUCAGAACAGAGAUCAUAUAAGUUUCAAAGUCUAAAUUGGGCAGCUAAGUGAAAUCCUGUCUGUCAUCAGAUGAAUGUGGCAGUUGGAGUUCCAGCACUUACGGCCAACAACUUCAGAAAAAAGGGAGACAGAGAAUCCAGAGGCAAGCAGUCCAGACUGGAGUGGCAGCUUCACGGUGAUCAGGGGACCCAGACUCCUGCCAUGCUGCUCCACCCGCUUUGCAUAUCGCUCUAUAAUUUGCAUAUCGCUCUAUAAUCCAAGGUAAUUGCUCAAGUCCCAGCCGUUGCGUUUUCAUUGCAGGCAGCAGGCAGGAAGAAGUGGGGAAGAAGACGUACCUCUUCCCGGUUAGGGAGCCUCCCCUGGAGUCCCACACGAUGCUUUGCUUAAAUCUCAUCGGUUAGAACAAAGUCACAUGGUCAUAUCUAGUUGCAAAAUUGCCUGGGAAAAGGAAUCUUUUAGAAGAGUGGCCAUGUGCCAGCUGAAAGUGGUCAUUUAGGUGAGAUGGCCAGAAAUCUGCCAGAGAAAGGAAAAAACUGUACAGUUACUUCCAGAUCUUGUGAUUGUCUACGUGGAGAAGUGCAGAGGCCCCUGACACGCACCUUUAAAACUAGGAAGAGACUUCAUCAAGGUUGCUAUAUAAGCGAAAGACUAGUAGAAACAAAGAUAUCAUUCAUGAAGGCAAUUAAACUAUGAUACAUCUAGAAAUAACUAUAGAAAUAUAUAAUUUUAUGGAAAAUAAUAAUAUUGAAAGAUAAAAAGUAACCUAAAAACAGUGAUAUGACAUUCUCAUGAAUGACAAAAUUCACCAUUUUGAAGAAAUCCAUUCCCACUAAAUUUAUCUACAAAUUUGAAAUAAAUCCAAUAAAGGUCUCCACAGCAUGUUUCUUGGAAAUUGGCAGAUAUUUUAAAUUCAUUUUUGGGAGAAUCAAUGGCAAAGAAUAUCCACGAAAAUGCUGAAGAAGAAAUAGUGGGAUUUGCCUACCAAAUAGCAAGAUGUAUUAUGAUAUUAAAACUUUGUAUAAGUUACACAUUGAAUCACUGUUGGAGAGUAGCCCAGAAACAGCCUUUACAAGUAUUUAACCUUCGUCUAUGACACAGCUAACAUUACAGAUCAAUGAACAACUGAUGCUGGGGCAAAUGCUUAUUCAAAUGGAAAAACUAAGACUGUAUCUGUAUCUCACUGUGUGCACAAAACCAGCUGCAGAUGGAUUAAAAAUAUAAAAUGAAAGUCAAAUGCUAAAGUUUGAGAACAAAAUUUGGGAGGCUAUCUUUAGUGCCUGAAGACAUUGAAGGAUUUACUAAAUGACACACACAAAGCAUUAGCCAUGAAGAAAACAACUGACAAAUUGGACUACACUGAGGCUCUGAGUGAAAAAAAAUCAUGACAAAGUUAAAAGACAAACAGUAGACUAGAAGGCGGCACGUAGGAGGCACUUAAUUCAGAGGACAAGUUUCAUAACAAAGAACUGUGCAUCCGUAAGAAGACGGCUCUCAACCCAGUAGGAAAUGGAUUUGAAAAGCUGUAAACAGUUUGCCAAAGAGAAAACUCAAAAGGCUGAAUAAUCGUAUGAAAACAUCCUUUCUCUCACUAUAAUCAAAAAAAGGGCAAAUUAAAUAAAAAUGUGUUAGCAUUUCAAACCCACCCG
ensembl:lncRNA